AUUUGGGAGGCUGAGGCAGAAGAAUCACGUGAACUCAGAAGGUGGAGGUUGCAGUGAGCCAAGAUGGCACCAUUGCACUCCAGCCUGGGCAAUAGAGCAAAAACUCUGUCAAAAAAAAAAAAAAAAAAAAGUUUAAAAGAAAAAGAAAUACCCUACUCUGUGCUUGCUUUCCUUCCUUCCUGGCCUCCAGUCCCUCUGCUCAUUCCUGCUGCCCUAGGAUUGUGUCUGUCAAUAAAGAAUUCGCGCGUAAGUUUUACCUCUGCUUUUUUCUAGAGAACUCAGGCUACCACAAGUGCCCUAGAAAAGAGCCCCUUUAGGACUAACGAGCAAGACCAGGCUUCAGCCAAGGCAAAGACUAACAAUUAAAGGAGAAAGCAAGUGGAAGGGUCCACCCAGAUCCAGGAAUACGCAGAAGCUGGAGGUUCGAGGAGAGCAGAGACCUAGAGCCUGUUUGCUAAGCUCGGCCACUGGGUUACUGAGGUCAAGUCCUGCUCAGCUUCAAGAAUGCCAAGCUGGAGCCACACACCAGGGUUGAGGCCAGUGCUCCAGGCUUGGGUGGGGCCCUGGAAGUAGCCAGCAGGCUGGAGCCAGAGUACCCACGCAGUUCCAGGCUCGCCUGCCUGCUGGCAAUGAAGGUACCUAGACUCGAAUUCCUGGUUCAGAUUCCUUCAUCUGAUGACAACUAAUAAAGGGUGUGGCAGCAAAGGUAAGUCAUCAUGCAACCUGACUUGAACUAGGGAAGCCAGGUGAAGAAACCAGUGUGCGUCCUUACCAUCACUAAUGAUAAGCCCCUGAAUAAGGCUGUCUGCCCACUAAAGAUGCAAAACAAGCAAAGAUCCGUCAUCAUUCCACUUAGAGAGAUUUAGUGCUUUAGUGCUUAAAAUUCCAUAGUAAAUGUAUUCACUUUUCUCUAGCAAUGUCAGAGCUAAAAAGGGGAAUUAUUGUCAGCAGCAUAAACAGAUUAUGCUUAUGAACCAAGCCACAAGAAAGGAGUUCAUACUUCUUUCUGGUAGAUGAAUGCUUUGUCACCCCAUGUCACCCUAUGGCAAAAGUAUAACAUUCAAAAUCAACUGUAGAAAAGAGACAAAUACAGAUUCUUCAGAGGGGUGAAUAAAAACUAUUUUCAUAUACAUAUGUCAGUUCUUAUAAAAACUAGCCAGGUGUGGUGGUACAUGCCUAUAGUCUUAGCACCUUGGGAGGCUACAGCUAGAGGAUUGCUCGAGCCCAGGAGGUUGAGGCUGCAGUAAGCCAUGUUUGUGCCACUGCACUCCAGCCUGAGUGACACAGCAAGAUCCUGUCUCUAAAUAAAUAAAUAAAUAAAUAAAUAUUACAUAUCAAUCUGUUUGAAGUAACAUUCAGUUUAGUGAGCUACCGACAUGUGCAGGCUCAAUGUUGUGUUAUUUUAUUUACACCGUACUGAGAGUAGGAGCCCCAUUUGACACGGACUAUGGAAAAAAGCCCACAGCCUCCACCCCUGUAACAAUACAGAAGUCAUUUUGACCUUGAAGUUUUAGAGCAGGUGUACCAAUGACCACGUGGGUCAAUAAAAGAAAAAUCUUUAUUGAUUUCAGCUGCACAGCUUCUUGGGGUGGCUUCCAAGAUAAAUAAGUUGCAAGAUAUUUGCUUGUCAUUAUUUGUAGGCUACCAAGCAGCAUCCCAAGAGCUUGGAAUGAGAUGAUCCUCUGAGAACUAAACUAUAAAAUCAAAACAUAAUGGGUUGGCCAGGCUCAGUGGCCUAUAAUCCCAGCAAUUUGGGAGGCCAAGACAGGCAAAUCACUUUAAGCCCAGAAGUUCAAGACCAGCCUGGCCAACAUGGCAAAACCCCAUCUCUACAAAAAAUACAAAAAUUAGCCAGGCAUGAUGGCGCAUGCCUGUAGUCGCGUCUACUCUGGAGACUGAGUGGGAAGAUUGCUUGAGCUGGGGAGGUGGAGAUUGCAAUGAGCCGAGAUCGCACCACUGCAAUCCAGCCGAUGUGACAGACUGAGACCCCGUCUCAAAAAACAAACAAAAACCCAUAGUGGGUUAAAGUACAAAUAUGCAAAAUCGCCUUUAAAGAAAGAGAAUGACACCCAGGCAGGACUUGGCUACCUAGAAAAAGCCUGGAGGGAAACUGGGCAAAGCACAGCCAAGCGCUGCCUAGGGGAGCAGAAAUUUCAGCCAACAGCUUUUGAAUCUUGACAAUUUUUUGCCUAGAAAGGCCAUUCCCAAUGUGGGGCUAGACAUAGGAGAUUGUCACCAAGGGAAUAUAAAUGUUUAGAUCCCGUAGACAAGACUUUCCCUAAUGUGAGCGGUGUGUAUCACGCUAUGUGUGCCUGAUACCAUUAUAGAUUCAAUUAAUCUAGCAGGACGGUGGCAGUCUGCUAACAAGUGUGUAACAACUCACUGCCAAAAAAAAAAUUCAAUUAAUCUGACUCUUCUUGUUUUCAUUCCACGUUGAUAAGCAAUCUCCUGAUGACUCUGGCUCCUCAUGUCAGUGUCCCUGCAGAGAAAUUCUGUAUGGAGAAUAUGGAUGCCAUGUAUUCCCAUCUUCAUAACAAUUAUCUUUGACAUUGUAAAUGAAUUUAAUUGUUAUUCAGUUUAUGAUUUUGCUUCCCACACAACUUGACUACAGGGAGAGAAUGGGCUGCCUGUGCCCAUGCAGAUAUCUCAGUCUAUGGCAUCCAUUAUAUUUUGAUUUUGUAGCUUAAGUCUCAGUGGGCACCCUCAUUUCCUGGUUCUUAGAGACUUCUUUGUAGUCUGAAAGCAUUGAUGAAAGCAAAUAUGGAACGUGCCUCUCAGUAAAUUAAUGCAUCGAGUUUUGCUUUUCUAUCUAAUCUCAUAGGCCUGGUGAGUGUAACUGGCAAAACUAGGUUUCUUAGCCUGUAAGACCAAAGACCACCCAGCAGACCAUGGAAAAUUGCUGGAGGUGACAAGUGCCACCUGAGGCCUCCUAAGAACCAGUCUGCCUGCCUUCCCUAGAGAGGCAUACCCCUUGUCUCUGGGUGGACAGUACAUGCCCCUUUUCAUUUUCUACCCAAGCCACAGACCAUGAGUGAACUUACUGGUCUUAGGGGCUUAUGUGGGGCAAACUGGGAAAACAUUAUGGGAUAUCUGCUCUAAACAGUGAACCUAAAGGCUGGAUGCAGUGACUCACGCCUGUAAUCCCAGCACUUUGGGAGGCCGAGGCGGGCGGAUCACUUGAGGUCAGGAGUUUAAGACCAGCCUGGCCAACAUGGUGAAACCUCAUCUCUACCAAAAAUAUAACAAAUUAGCUGGGUGUGGUGGCAGGUGCCUGUAAUCCCAGCUACUCAGGCGGCCAGGUAAGAGAAUCGCUUGAACCCAGGAGGUGGAGGUUGCAGUGAGCCAAGAUCGUGCCAGUGCACUCCAGCCUGGGCAACAGAGUGAGACUCAGUCUCAAAACAAAAACAAAAACAAAAACAAAACAAACAAACAAAAAAACAGUGAACUUGGCUUUUGAAUAGUUGACCUGAAGCUGUUCUUUCGGGCAAUAAAAAUGCCUGUUAAGGCCACUCCUGUGUCGUGAUAACAAAUCUUCAUGUGUAGUCUGCAUAGAAAAGAAUGCUUAUCUUUUCAUUCUUUCACACUAGAAAGUUAUGCAUCUAGGUAAGCCAGAACAGGAAAGAUAACAUUAUGCUCUAAGUCUAAGCUAAAGGAGGGGAGGCCAAAACAAAACCAUUUUUUUCUGACUGGAUAUUAUUAGCAAAUUCUCAAAAGAACCCCCCUGCCUCUCAAGGUGGGUUAUGGUGUUGGUGCUUAUGAGAAUGACUCGUCAGGGCUCAUGCUACUUAACUUGGACCUAAUUGAGUCAUGACCCAAGAAAAGGCCACCACUUCAUGUGUGUAUGGACAGUGGCUUAUAGUGAAAUAGUUACACUGAAGACCUCUGGUUCCUCAUAUUAAGUACUGACCUGAAAACCCCAGACUUCGAUUUUUUAUAAAUCUGUGUAAAAACUGGCUGCCUUUUGCAUGGAACAUCUAAUAAAUUAAUACAUCUGUAAUCAGACAGAUAAAGGAGUUUUUGGGGUUUUUUGUUAUGUUUUGUUGUUGUUGUUUUGUUUGUUGUUGUCAUUUUUGAGACAGGGUCUCCCUCUGUCACCCAAGCUGGAGUGCAGUGGCGCCAUCUCAGCUCACUGCAACCUCUGUCUCCCGGGCUUAAGUCAUCCUCCCACCUCAGCCUCCUGAGUAGCUGGGACUACAGGCACAUACCACGAAGCCUGGCUAAUUUUGUUCAUUUUUUGUAGAGACAAGGUCUCUGUGUGUUGCCCAGGCUGGUCUCAAACUCUUGGGCUCAAGGGAUCUUCC
rnacentral:lncRNA from 10 species